rnacentral:rRNA from 1 species
GAUGAACGCUGGCGGCGUGCCUAAUACAUGCAAGUCGAGCGAACGGACGAGAAGCUUGCUUCUCUGAUGUUAGCGGCGGACGGGUGAGUAACACGUGGAUAACCUACCUAUAAGACUGGGAUAACUUCGGGAAACCGGAGCUAAUACCGGAUAAUAUUUUGAACCGCAUGGUUCAAAAGUGAAAGACGGUCUUGCUGUCACUUAUAGAUGGAUCCGCGCUGCAUUAGCUAGUUGGUAAGGUAACGGCUUACCAAGGCAACGAUGCAUAGCCGACCUGAGAGGGUUAUCGGCAACACUGGAACUGAGACACGGUACCGACUACUACGGCAGGACGCGGUACGGAACCGUCCUACAUGGGCGAAGGCCGUACGGUGCAACGCAGCGUGCGUGACGAAGGUCUUAGGAUCGUAAAAUCCUGGUAUGAGGGAAGAACAUAUGUUUAACUAGCUGUGCUCAGUUUGACGGUACCUAUGCAGAAAGCCACGGGUAACUACGGU